UAGCCGUAAACGAUACUCGCUAGGUGUCGGCCACGGUGCGACCGUUGUCGGUGCCGUAGGGAAGCCGUGAAGCGAGCCACCUGGGAAGUACGGCCGCAAGGCUGAAACUUAAAGGACUUGGCGGGGGAGCACAACAACGGGUGGAGCUUGCGGUUUAAUUGGAUUCAACGCCGGAAAUCUUACCGGGACCGACAGCAACAUGAAGGCCAAGCUGAAGACUUUGCCGGAUUAGCUGAGAGGAGGUGCAUGGCGUAGUCGUGU
rnacentral:rRNA from 1 species